rnacentral:lncRNA from 1 species
AUUUUAUUGCACACGUGUAUCACUAUUAGCCUAUCAUAAUUAAUAAAUUAAGUUAUAAGCAACAAAUAACUAUUGUAUUCCUUUUAACAUUUUUACACAAUCAAAAAUACACAUAUCUAGUUCAUGUGUAAUUAAUAUGUUAAAAGAAAAUGCCAUGUUUACAGUAACUGUUUGUAGUUCUGGGAUAAAGAAUAUUUGUGUCCUAAUUUAGUGAGGUUUCAUGAUAACAUUUAUGUAUUACAAUUUCUACACAUGAUUCUAUUAAAUUAAUCCAUUUUAAUAAAAUUAAAGGAAUAAAAGUGAAGGAUAUCAUGCAUUUUUAGUCUCUGAUUACUUUUUGUGAUCUUUUGUAAGUAUCGAAUCAUGAAAUGAAGAUAAAGUUAUUAAAUUACAAAUUUAAACUUUUAUUCAGUAAACUGUAUUUAUUGAAUUGUCGAGGACACAUCUCAUUAUUUGUUCAACACUGAUUCAUCAGAUUGUAGUCACAUGCCAAAAACAAGAUAACAACUAACCAGAUGCUCCGCAGAGGUUGAACCCUGAACGGUUAGGGCAAGUAUGGACACAACAUUCAAGCUGGAUACAGCUCUAAAUUUGGAUUGUGAUUAAAUAGUUGACACAGCAUAGGUUUCUGACACAGAAUGAAUGUGGUCUAAUGAACUUAAAAUUUUUUUUUUG